UCCGUGACGUUUUGACUGAAAUGUAGCUAAGUGGGAUCUUAGCUCUAUAUUUGCUAUUUGGUAGUAGAGGAUGUGGUUUGCUUACGAUUCUUCAUCUCCUCUGCCGCAAGGGUUAAGACUUGGUGGGUUGUAGCGAAGUAUAAUGGGUUGAAAUGUGAACCACCGAGGUACCUGCAAAGUUGAGAACGGUGAAACAGUGGCUCAACCAACACAUCACACACCACAAGACGCGAUGAUCAAUUGCUUCAAGUAAGAGAAAAUAUAUGAUUCCAAAUAAACCUCACAGAACCACGUUUCAAUCAUAACCCUAUACUUACUAAUCCAGCCCCUCAACUUCCUAAGGCAGCCUCGAAGCCGAAUUAUGAGGCUUCUGCGGUUUGAGAAACUCUAUUAACAAUGUCCAUUCACACUUAAAACUUGGAAGAUAGAUCACAUGAGUUUGAUACCCUAUCUACAAACCACCAACUCCAAUGUUUCCCAUUUGAACACAUAGGGUCAGAACAAGAGCAGACCAGGGUAGUGGACAAAAGAACUAUGUGAUGCACUGUGUUCAAAAUGAGGUUUGAAAUUGCAGAAAAAAACAAAAACAAAACAAAACAAAACAAAAGAAGAAGAAGUCCUUCUUUAACAUCGCACAGGCCUGGAAGAUACCCUGUUGGAAUAAGCAACAAAGUAACAUGGAAAGUUUUGUGCUCCCUGCUUCUAAACGUGGCGGUACGUCGGUCCAUCCAGUGGCGUGCAGGAGCUGAAAAUCAAAGGUGUUUUGUGAGAAUGUGAGCAACAACGGCUUUAGCAAUAACAGCCCUGGCGGUAAUUCGAGAUGCAACUCCAAAUGCGCAUUAGUGAAUUCGUUCGGUGUAAUUCUCAAACCAUGGUCACCUUGUAGACCUUCAGUAGGGACGCCAUCAUUCAAUGCCCGACAUGUUUCUAAGAUGGGGCUCAUUACUUAAGGCUAAGGGAGAAAAUCCACUCAUGCGACCGAAUACCUUACCAGCAAAAGAAACAUCCGAACAAUUCACGUGUCCUGGAAAUAAGUUGUCACUGGGACAUAACGUUCGCUAGGGGAGCAUACAUCGGCAAAAAGGUUGCCAGCAUC
rnacentral:lncRNA from 1 species